UUUCGUUCUUCUUCAUCGCUGAAGAACCUACUGCCUCCUGACCGUUUCUUUCUUCCAAAGACUAAUUACUACCAGUGCUUCUUGCUUCGCCACAACUGCUUGAUCCUGUAAAGCUUGUGAAAAUCUGCUUGGUCACUGUGGCACCCUAACUUGAAACUUCUUUUGGUCACUCUUGGUGAGAAGGGUUGCAGAUACUACACCAAGGAUGGAAAUUGACGAUGUGAUUACCCCAGAAGUUCAGUCCGUGGAUGUGGAGAAAGAGCAAGAGCAAGAGCAACAACAAGAGCAUGAGGAGGAGGAAGUGCAAAAUGAAGCUCAUGAAGACUCUAAACGAGCUUAAUAUUAGGCCCGAGCUUGGGGCCUUUGUCGUACAAGCCAAGCUCAGGCAGAGUCUAACUAGAGCCGCCAGCGGGCGGCGCGAAUCAUUUUCAUCCCUAUUCACAGACCAUUCUUAAGGGUGAUAUAAAGCAAGAAGAACGGUAUUCUCGAGUACACUAAGGUAAUGGUUUUAAACCCUUGUUUAAAGCUAUGGAUUUCGGAUUUGGGAAUGGAGUUUCAUUUGGGAUUGCUCUUGCAUAUGUUCUAUACUAUAGUCACGCUGAAUUUGGGUAAUUGACGUGUAAUUUUUGUACUGGUGGGAUAUUACAAUUUUGGGCUUUUGGCUCUGGGUAUCGUGAUGCUGUCAAAUUUUCGUAAACUAUGUUAGUAAUAAAUUGGACGU